CUUUUUUAUCAGUAAUUAUCAUUAAAACUUAAAUAACUUUGAAAAAUAAAAAUAUCAUAAUUGAAUUAAUUUACACAGUUAGUUGGAACAACAGACCAGAUACAUGAAGAUAAAGAAAAUACAGAUAUAUCAAGUCUGCAGUCUCAGCAAGAGAACCAAUGUGACAGAAAAGAAGAAAGUGAAGAAGAAGAAAUCAAAGUCAAAAUGAGCACCUGGAAAAAGAUUCAAUCAAAAUUAGAAGAGCCAACAUUUGAGGACAAUUUGAGAAAAUUGGGCACAAUAGUUGACAAGCACAAGGACCGACAAUCACUGGUGGGGCAUGACAACAUGAAGGCAUUGGUUAUGCAGCAUGUACCAACACUAUACACAACGUUACUUAAUAGUAUAUCAAGUGAAAGACAUGGAGAGAAAAAGGUGCACAUGCAAGAAAGGAGAGUUACAUCACUUAUCU